rnacentral:rRNA from 1 species
AUUGAACGCUGGCGGCAGGCCUAACACAUGCAAGUCGAGCGGAAACGAGUUAUCUGAACCUUCGGGGAACGAUAACGGCGUCGAGCGGCGGACGGGUGAGUAAUGCCUGGGAAAUUGCCCUGAUGUGGGGGAUAACCAUUGGAAACGAUGGCUAAUACCGCAUAAUAGCUUCGGCUCAAAGAGGGGGACCUUCGGGCCUCUCGCGUCAGGAUAUGCCCAGGUGGGAUUAGCUAGUUGGUGAGGCAAGGGCUCACCAAGGCGACGAUCCCUAGCUGGUCUGAGAGGAUGAUCAGCCACACUGGAACUGAGACACGGUCCAGACUCCUACGGGAGGCAGCAGUGGGGGAUAUUGCACAAUGGGCGCAAGCCUGAUGCAGCCAUGCCGCGUGUAUGAAGAAGGCCUUCGGGUUGUAAAGUACUUUCAGCAGUGAGGAAGGGGUGUCCGUUAAUAGCGUGCAUCUUUGACGUUAGCUGCAGAAGAAGCACCGGCUAACUCCGUGCCAGCAGCCGCGGUAAUACGGAGGGUGCGAGCGCUAAUCGGAAUUACUGGGCGUAAAGCGCAUGCAGGUGGUUUGUUAAGUCAGAUGUGAAAGCCCGGGGCUCAACCUCGGAAUUGCAUUUGAAACUGGCAGACUAGAGUACUGUAGAGGGGGGUA